UACGGAGGGUGCGAGCGUUGUCCGGAAUCACUGGGCGUAAAGCGCGCGCAGGCGGUCUUCCAAGUCAGUGGUGAAAGCCUGGAGCUCAACUCCAGAACUGCCAUUGAAACUGUUAGACUUGAGUACGAGAGAGGUGAGUGGAAUUCCCAGUGUAGAGGUGAAAUUCGUAGAUAUUGGGAAGAACACCAGUGGCGAAGGCGGCUCACUGGCUCGUAACUGACGCUCAGGCGCGACAGCGUGGGGAUCGAAACAGG
rnacentral:rRNA from 1 species